rnacentral:misc_RNA from 1 species
GAUGAGAACGUAGCGAAAUGCGAUAAGUAAUGUGAAUUGCAGAAUUCAGUGAAUCAUCGAAUCUUUGAACGCACAUUGCGCCCGGGAGCAUUCUCCCGGGCAUGCCUGUUCGAGCGUCAUUUCAACCCUCGAUUUCCCUUUGGGGAAGUCGGCCGUUGGAGAUCGGCAGCACUGCCGGCUCCCAAAUACAGUGGCGACCCGCCGCGGGGACCCCUGCGUAGUAACUUACACUCGCACCGGAAACCAGACGUGUCACGCCGUAAAACCCCCAACUUUCUGAACGUUGACCUCGGAUCAGGUAGGAAUACCCGCUGAACUUAAGCAUAUCAAUAAGCGGAGGA